CUAGAUUUGGAGGUUUCUCCCCUCAUCUCUCUCUCUCUCUCUCUCGACCUAAACAAGAUCUAGUUUUUCUCCCCUCCUCCUAAUUUUUGAUCUCUCCCUCUCUAGUGUUUUCUUCUGGGUAACUGUUGCAACCCAUCACAAUCGUCAUCCGUUUUCAAUCUCAGCACUACAAAGAACUCGAAGCCACCAUUAACAUGCUUCCAUGCUCUGCGUUGAGUUCCAAAUGGCGUUAUCAUCAAGGCCAUGGAGGGAUUCUCAAGAAGAAGAUCAGGCUCCGGUCACCGUCGCCGAUUUCAGCAGCCAGGCACUGAUAAGUUUGGAGAUGGGGAGACAAAUCCCUUCGAUUUCUUUGGUGGCGGAAGAGGACACGGCGUCGGUGCGGUUGAAUAAUUUGGUAGAGCAGGCGGUUGAUUAGGCCGCGCAACCAUCUACUUUCCGACAUAAGAAAUUUUUGGUGUGUUGAAGUGAAAUAGCUUUCGCCACGUUUGAGAACAUGUAGUAUGGAGAGAGUGCAAGAUGUUGCUGAGUUACUUGGCAUGAUUGUUGAAGGCCACAAGCGGUUGCAGCCUAAUGUGAAAACCUAUGCGAAAAUGUGAAGACAAAAAUUGUAUUUAGGCCAAAUGUUUCUAUGGCGUUGUUCUUUCAAUACAACACUGCUUUGGGGGCCACCUUACCAGGUUUUGGUAGAUACCAACUUUAUCAAUUUCUCUAUCCAGAAUAAGUUGGAUUUGGAGAAGAGAAUGAUGGACUGCCCAUAUGCAAAGUGUACUCCUGGUAUCACAGAUUAUGAAAUUGGUUAGGCUUGAAAAGUUGGGUCAGAAAUAUCGUGUGGCUCUGAGGUUGUCCUUGUCAAAAGAAGAGUUGCAGCUGUGGGAUGAAGUCUUGAUGUUUAUAUAUUGAUGGGUGCAUCUGUAAAUUUAUAGUUAGUACGUUUAUUGUAUUAUACAAUUUAAAAUACAAUAUAUAGUACAAGAAUGUAAAGGUGCCAAACGGCACCUUAUUUUUUUAAUACAA